rnacentral:tRNA from 1 species
CUUUAGCUCAGUUGGUAGAGCAGUAGACUCUUAAUCUAUUUGUCCAGGGUUCGAGUCCCUGA